CUCUCUGUAGCUCAGUUGGUAGAGCAAUUGACUCUUAAUCAAUGGGUCUCAGGUUCGAAUCCUGACAGGGAGA
rnacentral:tRNA from 1 species